CACUUUCUCUGGCAGCACCCGGUCCGGGAUCCAAGGUUCAGAGGGGUGUGGUGGCUUACCACGUAUCUGGAGAGAGAGGUUGUUGGGCGAAUCUGGGGCCAGAGGGAGGAUCCUCCAGCCUAGAGUCCAGCUCCAAAAGGCUUCCAGGACUAGAGAAAGCCUGGGGGUGGGCAAGGUGCCUAUGUGGACUCUCUGGACCCCUCUCCUGCUGGUAAGGCCCUCGGGAGGCCUAGGACCACCCUUCUGCCCUCUGGAGCCUUUCUACCUCCUGGUGCCCUCCUGAAGAUGCUGGUGUGUGCUGCUGAGACUCUAGGCUGCUUCUGGCUGGAGCUGACUGUGAUUGGGUUCGAGGAGGGCCCAUCUGUGGGGACUGCUGUGUUCCGGCUACAGCGCUUGCUGGAUGCUCUGGGGUCCCAGCUGUGGGUCACAGCCCAGGGCCCUUGUUUACCCUGUGAAGAAUAUCCCCAGAGACCUGUCUCUCUCUUCCUGGCUAAACUAUUAGAGUUAUUACAGGGGGCUUGUGCUUGGCACCGGCCCUCAGCAUGAGCCUUGGAGGAUGCUGACUUCCUGGUACUCCUGGAGAAGCUGGCAGAGAGAGGGAGAGGAGACUUGGUCUCUAGCCCCAGUUCCUAAACCCUAAGCCUGUUCUUCUAGGCCAGAGGACACCCCCGGAGCCCCAGGGGCCAAGGGGAAGAGGCGAAGAGAAGGAAAAUCAGAUACUCCCUCCUCUCCUCUUCUAGGAAGGAACAGAGCACUGCACAGAUAUCUUUUAACCUCAUCCUCACCCAUGGAGGACAAAGAGAGUCUUGUGGUUCACAUCCCUGGCUGCAAAUAAUUACCGCCUAGAAAACUUUCAAGGAAUACUGAUGGCUAGGCCUCAACCCAGAGAAUUGGACAAUUGCUCUCUGGUGGAUCCUGAACAUCUAUAUUUUUUAAAUCAACUGUAUUGAGGUAUAAUUUACAUGAAGUAAAAGGCACCCAUUUCACUGCA